GGGUGUAUAACUCAGUGGUAGAGUACCUGCUUAGCAUGCUUGAGGUCCUGGGUUCAAUCCCCAGUACCCCCA
rnacentral:tRNA from 1 species